GGAGCUUGCUCCGGUGGAUUAGUGGCGAACGGGUGAGUAACACGUGAGCAAUCUGCCCUUGACUCUGGGAUAACUGCGGGAAACUGUAGCUAAUACCGGAUACGACCCUUGGAGGCAUCUCCGGGGGUGGAAAGAAUUUCGGUCAAGGAUGAGCUCGCGGCCUAUCAGCUAGUUGGUGAGGUAAUGGCUCACCAAGGCGACGACGGGUAGCCGGCCUGAGAGGGUGACCGGCCACACUGGAACUGAGACACGGUCCAGACUCCUACGGGAGGCAGCAGUGGGGAAUAUUGCACAAUGGGCGAAAGCCUGAUGCAGCAACGCCGCGUGAGGGAUGAAGGCCUUCGGGUUGUAAACCUCUUUUGCAGGGAAGAAGCGAAAGUGACGGUACCUGCAGAAAAAGCACCGGCUAACUACGUGCCAGCAGCCGCGGUAAUACGUAGGGUGCAAGCGUUGUCCGGAAUUAUUGGGCGUAAAGAGCUCGUAGGCGGUUUGUCGCGUCUGCUGUGAAAAUCCGAGGCUCAACCUCGGACCUGCAGUGGGUACGGGCAAACUAGAGUGCGGUAGGGGAGAUGGGAAUUCCUGGUGUAGCGGUGGAAUGCGCAGAUAUCAGGAGUAACACCGACGGCGAAGGCACAUCUCUGGGCCGUAACUGACGCUGAGGAGCGAAAGCGUGGGGAGCGAACAGGAUUAGAUACCCUGG
rnacentral:rRNA from 1 species